AUACAGAGGGUGCGAGCGUUAAUCGGAAUUACUGGGCGUAAAGCGCGCGUAGGCGGCUUAUUAAGUCAGAUGUGAAAUCCCCGGGCUCAACCUGGGAACUGCAUCUGAUACUGGUAAGCUAGAGUUUUGGAGAGGGAAGUAGAAUUUCAGGUGUAGCGGUGAAAUGCAUAGAGAUCUGAAGGAAUACCAGUGGCGAAGGCGACUUCCUGGCCAAAAACUGACGCUGAGGUGCGAAAGCGAGGGUAGCAAACGGGAUUAGAAACCCUUGUAGUCC
rnacentral:rRNA from 1 species